rnacentral:rRNA from 1 species
UGGGGGAUAUUGCACAAUGGGCGAAAGCCUGAUGCAGCGACGCCGCGUGGGGGAUGAAGGCUUUCGGGUUGUAAACCUCUUUCGCUAUCGAACAAGGCCCGCUUAGGGUGGGUUGAGGGUAGGUGGAGAAGAAGCGCCGGCUAACUACGUGCCAGCAGCCGUGGUAAUACGUAGGGCGCGAGCGUUGUCCGGAAUUAUUGGGCGUAAAGGGCUUGUAGGCGGCUUGUUGCGCCUGCUGUGAAAACGCGGGGCUUAACUUCGCGCGUGCAGUGGGUACGGGCAGGCUUGAGUGUGGUAGGGGUGACUGGAAUUCCAGGUGUAGCGGUGGAAUGCGCAGAUAUCUGGAGGAACACCGAUGGCGAAGGCAGGUCACUGGGCCAUUACUGACGCUGAGGAGCGAAAGCAUGGGUAGCGAACAGG